rnacentral:rRNA from 1 species
AUUGAACGCUGGCGGCAGGCCUAACACAUGCAAGUCGAGCGAGCGGCGGACGGGUGAGUAAUGUCUGGGAAACUGCCUGAUGGAGGGGGGUAACUACUGGAAACGGUAGCUAAUACCGCAUACCAUCAGAUGUGCCCAGAUGGGAUUAGCUAGUAGGUGGGGUAACGGCUCACCGAGGCGACGAUCCCUAGCUGGUCUGAGAGGAUGACCAGCCACACUGGAACUGAGAGACGGUCCAGACUCCUACGGGAGGGAGCAGGGGGGAAUAUUGCACAAUGGGCGCAAGCCUGACGCAGCCAUGCCGCGUGUGUGAAGAAGGCCUUCGGGUUGUAAAGCACUUUCAGCGGGGAGGCGUUACCCGCAGAAGAAGCACCGGCUAACUCCGUGCCAGCAGCCGCGGUAAUAC